GUAUCUACUACGGACUGCGNUCGCNGUNUAUGCAUCUAGCAUUNGGCCGNUUGUUNCUAUGGAUCUCAGCACNUGGACCGCUGGUUGUGCACAGCUUAACACAUGCGAAUGUCGAGCGGGGAAGGUUGCUUCGGUAACUGACCUAGCGGCGGACGGGUGANUAACUGCUUAGGAAUCUGCCCAUUAGUGGGGGCACAACACUUCCGUCACANAGUGAUAAUGACUAGAUACCGACAUACGCAUCACUCACGAGAGCAGAAAGCAGAGGUGAUCUAUCGAGUACCUUGCCGCUAAAAUGAAUGAGCCUAAGCUCUGUGAUUUAUGCCUAGCUAUGUGUUGGGCGUAACAGGUGCUCAUACCCAAGGCGAACGAUGCGUGCUAUGCAGUGGGAUCUUGGAAGCAGUGCANUUGCACUCCCGCCCUACCACUUCGGGGGACUUUGGAUGCAACCACGGCCCAAGAACUUCCUACGUGGGACGCGACAACAGUCAAGGUGUGAGUGGGGANUAAAUUUUGAGAACAACUAGGAGGGCUGUGGAACGCCCUUCGGGUACCAGCCAACUUAGCCCAGGCCCGNUAAGAUUACGUAUGCAUAACAGACAAGGAGGCCCUUAAAUUAGUGAUAUGGUAAACAACAGCCCAACAUUAUUACUAACUCCGCCCGCAAUGUGCGGCAACGCGGNACGUGGCUUAAACCCAACGUUAAAUAUAAAGUUAACCUUNAACCUUAGUGAUUCAUCGCUUAGAGGCACCGUUUACCUUACCAGCCAAGAGAAUUAAAAUAUGGGCCCAACCACCACGGNCGGGCNGUUAAGNAACCACAUCCUGUAAGGUUUACGGCCACCCAAGGCCGAAAUGAUCACCCAGGGCAUGGCGGGGUAAAAACUUUAACCACACGGGCAACGGAAGGCGGUUUAUAGCCUGAAACCGGCCCCGGUUAUNUAGACAACUUUCCUCGGGGGUGGAACUUNUUUUAGAGCCUCUUGGAGAGACGUCUGGGUUUAAAACCACCGGCCCGGUUAUAGCCCAGGCUNAUUAUAGUGCCGCNCGGACNUNAUCUUUAUUUAGAACACAGCAUCUCCCGGCNAGCUCUNGUACUUCACACCAAGAGUUGACCCCCCCCCCGCGAAAGNGGCUCCUUUAUAAAACCUUAUGAGGCGGGGGAAAAGACUNUUGCGCGCGUAUUUCCCNACAUUAACCCUUUGGGGGGCCAAAAGAGCCAAAACAACAGNCAAUUNUGAGGGNANCGCAAANGGAGACUUGAGUGCGUACGCAAGNNAGNAUUUCCCAACGAGGGUUACAACGUCGCACCAAAUCAGCUAUAAUCAUGAACACUAUUGACACAAGCCAANCACAUCAUACACAAUCACAGCAACCAACNAACCAUCACANACACACACACCCANAAGCNCANAAACAACCUAUCGAUCCCA
rnacentral:rRNA from 1 species